GUAGCUGGUCUGAGAGGAUGGCCAGCCACACUGGAACUGAGACACGGUCCAGACUCCUACGGGAGGCAGCAGUGGGGAAUAUUGGACAAUGGGGGCAACCCUGAUCCAGCAAUGCCGCGUGUGUGAAGAAGGCCUGAGGGUUGUAAAGCACUUUCAGUGGGGAGGAGGGUUGAUAGGUUAAGAGCUGAUUAAUUGGACGUUACCCACAGAAGAAGCACCGGCUAACUCCGUGCCAGCAGCCGCGGUAAUACGGAGGGUGCGAGCGUUAAUCGGAAUUACUGGGCGUAAAGGGUGCGUAGGUGGUUUAUUAAGUUAUCUGUGAAAUCCCUGGGCUUAACCUGGGCAGGUCAGAUAAUACUGGUURACUCGAGUAUGG
rnacentral:rRNA from 1 species